rnacentral:rRNA from 1 species
AUUGAACGCUGGCGGCAGGCCUAACACAUGCAAGUCGAGCGGAUGAAGGGAGCUUGCUCCUGGAUUCAGCGGCGGCCGGGUGAGUAAUGCCUAGGAAUCUGCCUGGUAGUGGGGGAUAACGUCCGGAAACGGGCGCUAAUACCGCAUACGUCCUGUGGGAGCAAGUGGGGGAUCUUCGGACCUCACGCUAUCAGAUGAGCCUAGGUCGGAUUAGCUAGUUGGUGGGGUAACUGCCUACCAAGGCGACGAUCCGUAACUGGUCUGAGAGGAUGAUCAGUCACACGGGAAGUGAGACACGGUCCAGACUCCUACGGGAGGCAGCAGUGGGGAAUAUUGGACAAUGGGGGAAAGGCUGAUACAGCAAAGCGGCGUGUGUGAAGAAGGUGUUCGGAUGGUAAAGCACUUUAAGUUGGGAGGAAGGGCAGUAAGUUAAUACGUUGCUGUAUUGACGGUACCGAAAGAAUAAGCACCGGCUAACUUCGUG